rnacentral:misc_RNA from 1 species
UAUGAGUGUCAAAACAAAAGGAGAAUUACUUACCACUCCAAACUCUUUUUGGCCGGCCAUCUUCCAUCAGUUUGAUGGGUGAAUUGGAAGAGAUUGGAGCUGAUAUCAGUUCGGAUAUUGAAGUUGACGACAUAAGGUGUGACAACAUUCCAGAGAAAGAUGUUAGUGAUGAAGAAAUUGAAACGGAAGAGUUGGAGAGGCGAAUGUGGAAGGAUCAGAUCAAGCUCAAAAGGAUUAAGGAAAGACAUAAAUUUGAAGCCCAACAAGCUGCAGAGGAGCAGAAGCUCAAGCACAACUCUGAUCAGGCACAAAGAAAGAAAGUGUCAAGAGCCCAAGAUGGAAUUCUCAAG